rnacentral:rRNA from 1 species
GAAUCUCGAAAGCCUGUCUCAGUUCGGAUUGGAGGCUGAAACCCGCCUCCAUGAAGUUGGAUUCGCUAGUAAUCGCGCAUCAGCCAUGGCGCGGUGAAUACGUUCCCGGGCCUUGUACACACCGCCCGUCAAGCCAUGGAAGCUGGGGGUGCCUGAAGUUCGUGACCGGAAGGAGCGACCUAGGGCAAAACCGGUGACUGGGGCUAAGUCGUAACAAGGUAGC